UUAACAGAUACAAAUACAACUCUGUGUGUUUUUAUAAUAACAUUGUUCAUAUGGCAAUAUUACAAAAAGAAAAUGUGGCAAGCUAUAAACCAAAAAGUGAAAUAUGGUAACUCAUUGUUAAAUUUUGCUUGUGCUUGAUCGGAGAUUCUUGUUUUAUAAAAAAAAAUAAUCUAAAACGUUAUAUUUCUAUUACGCAGUUAUAAUUAGUAAAACAAACAUACAUUUUAUUAGCUAUUAAAUAUUGUGAAAAUAUUUUUGUCAACAAGGGAAUGAGGACUUCUGUUCUACAAUUAAAUACAAUGGAGAAAUGGAAACAAUGGUGUUAAUGUAUAAUUCAAACAACAAUGAACUGUCCAUUCCCACGACAAUUGGAUCUUCGCUCCAUAACGUCCAAAGAUUGUAAACCCAGCGACAGCUGUAUCAGCCGAAUGUCUUUUCUCCAGGAAAGAAUUAUACGCCAAAGCCGAACUGUUAAAACAACAUCUUAAUGCCGCCCAAAACAUGUAAGAAUAAAUAUAGAUUUAUUUAUUAUAUAGAUAUGAAAUGUACUUUCAUAUAAUAAAGAUAAUAAUUAUUAAUUAAA